GAAGAAAAGAAGAGACUCCUAACUAGAGUCCUCUUACUCCCUUUCUCAUGUGCACAGUGCAUAAGUUCAAAAUAUUUUUUACUUACUUCAAGAUUCGCAUAAGGAAGAUUUAAGGAUCCAAGUCCUUAUAUGCUCUCUUUUAAAAUAAUUUUAUCCUCAAAAUUAGCAUACUGUAAAGUUGAUAACUUUAAGUGAACCAAAUUUCUAUCCCAUGCUUGACCCCCU
rnacentral:lncRNA from 1 species